rnacentral:rRNA from 1 species
AUACGGAGGAUCCGAGCGUUAUCCGGAUUUAUUGGGUUUAAAGGGAGCGUAGGUGGAUUGUUAAGUCAGUUGUGAAAGUUUGCGGCUCAACCGUAAAAUUGCAGUUGAAACUGGCAGUCUUGAGUACAGUAGAGGUGGGCGGAAUUCGUGGUGUAGCGGUGAAAUGCUUAGAUAUCACGAAGAACUCCGAUUGCGAAGGCAGCUCACUAGACUGUUACUGACACUGAUGCUCGAAAGUGUGGGUAUCAAACAGGAUUAGAUACCCUGGUAGUCCACACAGUAAACGAUGAAUACUCGCUGUUUGCGAUAUACAGUAAGCGGCCAAGCGAAAGCAUUAAGUAUUCCACCUGGGGAGUACGCCGGCAACGGUGAAACUUAAAUGAAUUGACGGGG